rnacentral:rRNA from 1 species
GAUGAACGCUGGCGGCGUGCCUAAUACAUGCAAGUCGAGCGAACAGACGAGGAGCUUGCUCCUCUGACGUUAGCGGCGGACGGGUGAGUAACACGUGGAUAACCUACCUAUAAGACUGGGAUAACUUCGGGAAACCGGAGCUAAUACCGGAUAAUAUAUUGAACCGCAUGGUUCAAUAGUGAAAGACGGUUUUGCUGUCACUUAUAGAUGGAUCCGCGCCGCAUUAGCUAGUUGGUAAGGUAGCGGCUUACCAAGGCAACGAUGCGUAGCCGACCUGAGAGGGUGAGCGGCCACACUGGAACUGAGACACGGUCCAGACUCCUACGGGAGGCAGCAGUAGGGAAUCUUCCGCAAUGGGCGAAAGCCUGACGGAGCAACGCCGCGUGAGUGAUGAAGGUCUUCGGAUCGUAAAACUCUGUUAUUAGGGAAGAACAAAUGUGUAAGUAACUAUGCACGUCUUGACGGUACCUAAUCAGAAAGCCACGGCUAACUACGUG